UUGCAUAACAAAAUUGAUAACUCCACUGC
rnacentral:sRNA from 1 species